rnacentral:lncRNA from 1 species
CAUCAUUCUUAAUGGUGAAAAACUAAAAGCAUUUACACUAAGAUUAGGAACAAGGCAGGGAUGUCUGCUCUUGUCACUUUUAUUUGACAUAGUUUUGGAAGUCCUAGCCACAGAAAUCAGGGAAGAAAAGGAAAUAAAAGGAAUCCAAAUUGGAAAGGAAGAAGUAAAAUUGUCACUGUUUGCAGAUGACAUGAUUGUAUACCUAGAAAAUCAUAAAGACACUACCUGAAAACUGUUAGAGCUCAUCGAUGAAUUUGGUAAAGUUGCAGGGUUCAAAACUGAUACACAGAAAUCAAUUGCAUUUCUGUACACUAACAAUGAAGGAUCAGAAAGAGAGAUUAAGAAAACCAUCCCAUUUACCAUUACAUCAAAAAAUAAUAAAAUACCUAGGAAUAAACCUACCUAAAGAGACAAAAGACCUGUACUCUGAAAACUAUAAGAUGCUGAUGAAGGAAAUCAAAGAUAACACAAACAGAUAGAAAGAUACACCAUGCUCUUGGAUUGGAAGAAUCAAUACUGUCAAAAUGACUAUACUAUCCAAUCUACAGAUCCAGUGCAAUCCAUAUCAAAUUACAUUCUUCACAUAACUGGAACAAAAUAUUUUAAGUUUGUAUGGAAACAUGAAAGACAAUGAAUACCCAAGGUAAUAUUGAAAGGAAAAAAUGGAACUUGAAGAAUCAGACUCCCAUGACUUAAGACUAUACUACAAAGCUACAGUCAUCAAAACAGCAUGGUACUGGCACAAAAAUGAAAUAUAGGUCAGUGGAACAGGAUAGAAAGCCCAGAAAUAAGCCCAAGCACCUACAGUCAACUAAUCUAUGACAAAUGAGGCAAGAACAUACAUCGGAAGAAAGGCAGUCUCUUCAAUAAGUGAUUCUGGGAAAACUGGAAAGCUACAUGUAAAAGAAUGAAAUUAGAACACUAACACUGCACACAAAAAUAAUAAAUAAUAUCAAAAUGGAGUAAAGACCUAAAUGUAAGGCCAGAUACUGUAAAACUCCUAGAGGAAAAUAUAGGCAGAACGCUCUUUGAUGUAAGUCACAGCAACAUUUUCUUUGAUCUACCUCCUAGAAUAAUGACAGUAAAGACAAAAAUAAACCAAUGGGACCUAAUUAAACUCAAAAUCUUUUGUACAGCAAAGAAAACCAUUAAACAAAUGAAAAGACAACCCACAGAAUGGGAGAAAAUCUUUGCAAACAAUGCAACCAAUGAAGGCUUAAUCUCCAAAAUGUACAAACAACUCAUAACAACCAAAAAACAACCCAAGACAAAAAUGGGCAGAAGACCUCAAUAAACACUUCUCCAAAAACAUACAGAUGGCCAGCAGGCACAUGAAAAAAAUGCUCAAAUCACUAAUAAUUAGAUAAAUGCAAAUCAAAACUACAAUGAGGUACCAUUUCACACAGGUCAGAAUGGCCAUCAUUAACAAGUCAACAAAUAGCAAAUGGUGGUGAGGAUGUGGCAGAAAGGGAACUCUCCUUCACUUUUGGUGGGAAUGUAGACUGAUACAACCGCAAUGGAACAUAGUAUGGAGGUACCUCAUAAAAAUAAAUAUAGAACUACCAUAUGAUCCAGCAAUCUCACUCCUGACAUAUCUGGACAAAAAACUGUCACUCCCACUCCUAUGUUUACAGCAGCAUUAUUCACAAUAGCCAAGACCUGGAAACAACCCAAACAUCCAUUGACAGAUGAAUGGAUUAAGAAUGUGUGGUAUAUAUAUAUACAAUGGAAUACUACUCAGCCAUUAGAAAGGCAAAAUAAUGCCAUUUGCAGCAACAUGGAUGCAACUGGAGAUUUUCAUACUAAGUGAAGUAAGUCGGAAAGAGACAGAUAAAUACUGUAUGGUAUCAUUUACAUGUGGAAUCUAAAAUAUGAUACAAAUGACCCUAUCUAAAAAACAGAAACAGAUCAUGGAUGUGGAGAACAGAUUUGUGUUUACCAGGGGGGAGCGAGUUGGAUGGAUGGGUAGUUUUGGGGUUGAUAAAUGCAAACUAUUACAUUUAGAAUGGAUAAGUAAUAUGGUUCUGCUGCACAGCACAGGGGACUGUGUCCAGUCGCUUGAGAUAGAACAUGAUGGAAGACAGUAUGAAGAAAAAGAAUGUAUAUAUAUGUAUGCCUGGGUCACUUUGCUGUACAGCAGAAAUUGAAGGACUAUUGUAAAUAGACUAUAAUAAAAAAAUUUUCAUUAAACUUUAUUUUCUGGGACAGUUCCCAUUGUGGCUUAGCGGUAAGGAGCCUGACUAGUACCCAUGAGGAUGCAGGUUCAAUCCCUGAUCUUGCUCAGUGGGUUAAGGAUCUGGCAUUGCUGUGGCUGUGGGGUAGGCUGGCAGCUGCAGCUCUGAUUUGAUCCCUAGCCUGGGAACUUCCAAAUGUCACCUAAAAAAACAAAACAAAAAAAAGUCCAUGAUUUUCUUUUCUGUGGAAAUGUUCAUUUGUGCUGUAUAUUAGAUUCUAGUUAG